ACGGCGAACGGGUGAGUAACACGUGAGUAAUCUGCCCUCGGCACCGGGAUAGCCCGGGGAAACCCGGAUUAAUACCGGAUGGCCCACCAGCCCCUCGGGGCGGUUGGAAAAGGUAGCUUCGGCCUCCGGCCGAGGAGGAGCUCGCGGCGGAUUAGCUUGUUGGCGGGGUAACGGCCCACCAAGGCGACGAUCCGUAGCUGGUCUGAGAGGACGAUCAGCCACACUGGGAUUGAGACACGGCCCAG
rnacentral:rRNA from 1 species